GCCGUGUGUUUUCGCCGAUCAUAACUGGUUUAACUCUUGGCUCCUUUGAGAUCAAUAUGACUUCUGCCAAAUCAAAUGUGCCGGCAAAUUGCAAAAUCUCUGCAUCUGAUGAUGGCCAUGUGUUUUCGCCGAUCAUAACUGAUUCAAGCUCCUUUGAGAUCAAUAUGACUUCUGCCAAAUCAAAUGUGCCGGCAAAUUAUCAUCAAAGGUUUCUGAAAGCAAACACCAGUCAGUUGGUUAAAAAAAGUGAAG